UGCGGAAGAGAUAAGUGACUGAAAGCAUCUAAGCACGAAACUUGCCCCGAGAUGAGUUCUCCCUGAGACUUUAGGUCUCCUGAAGGAACGUUGAAGACGACGACGUUGAUAGGCCGGGUGUGUAAGCGCAGCGAUGCGUUGAGCUAACCGGUACUAAUGAACCGUGAGGCUUAACCUUAC
rnacentral:rRNA from 1 species